UACAGGGGGGGCGAGCGUUGUUCGGAAUUAUUGGGCGUAAAGGGCGCGUAGGCGGUGCGGUAAGUCACCUGUGAAACCUCUGGGCUUAACCCAGAGCCUGCAGGCGAAACUGCCGUGCUAGAGUGUGGGAGAGGUGCGUGGAAUUCCUGGUGUAGCGGUGAAAUGCGUAGAUAUCAGGAGGAACACCUGUGGCGAAAGCGGCGCACUGGACCACAACUGACGCUGAGGCGCGAAAGCUAGGGGAGCAAACAGG
rnacentral:rRNA from 1 species